GAGGCAGCAGUGGGGAAUAUUGCACAAUGGGCGCAAGCCUGAUGCAGCCAUGCCGCGUGUAUGAAGAAGGCCUUCGGGUUGUAAAGUACUUUCAGCGAGGAGGAAGGUGUUGAGGUUAAUAACCUCAUCAAUUGACGUUACUCGCAGAAUAAGCACCGGCUAACUCCGUGCCAG
rnacentral:rRNA from 1 species